ensembl:lncRNA
UAUAGAUAGUUUAGUUUAAUAUUAUAUAGUGUAUAGUAUAGUGUAAUAUUAUGUAGUGUAUAGUAUAGUACAGAUAGUAUAGUGUAAUAUUAUGUAGUGUUAUAUAUAGAUAGUAUAGUGUAAUAUUAUGUAGUGUAUAGUAUAGUACAGAUAGUAUAGUGUAAUAUUAUAUAGUGUAUAUUAUAGUACAGAUAGUAUAGUGUAAUAUUAUGUAGUGUAUAGUAUAGUAUAGAUAGUAUAGUGUAAUAUUAUGUAGUGUAUAGUAUAGUAUAGUAUCGUGUUGGUAGUGGAGACCACUAGAUGGCUCUAUGUACUGGGGGAUGUAUGCACACACACACACACACACACACACACACACGCACACGCACACGCACACUGUGUGAUAGAGUGUAGUCUGCACCAAUCCGCGCGCGCAGGCGGCGCCGGUGACG